rnacentral:rRNA from 1 species
AGAGACAGCAGCAGCCGCGGUUAGACAGAGGAUGCAAGCGUUAUCCGGAAUGAUUGGGCGUAAAGCGUCUGUAGGUGGCUUUUCAAGUCCGCCGUCAAAUCCCAGGGCUCAACCCUGGACAGGCGGUGGAAACUACCAAGCUGGAGUACGGUAGGGGCAGAGGGAAUUUCCAGUGGAGCGGUGAAAUGCGUUGAGAUCGAAAAGAACACCAACAGCGAAAGCACUCUGCUGGGACGACACUGACACUAAGAGACGAAAGCUAGGGGAGCAAAUGGGAUUAGAUACCCCCGUAGUCCCUGUCUCUUAUAC